UAGGAGAAGAAGUUCUGAGAAGACUGACUACAGAUUGGCUGGCCUGGCUGACCCAGGAACUUCUGAGCAGACUGACCUCAGAUUGUAUGGCCUCGUUGACCACAAAACAUCUGUAAAGACUCACCACCAAGUGUACGGCCAAGCCACUGAACUAGCUGAACACCAGGCUAUUGACCAAGCUCAUAGUAAUGCUGAUCAACCUCCAGUUGACAAUGCUCACUACACUGAAUCUGACCAGACUGACCACUUAGCAGACAGACAAGCUAAUCAUAAAGACCAGCUGUCUUACUAUGAAACACGUGGCCAGUCUGAAGACAGAAUAUUUCCCCAGUUAGGCAACAGCAAAGAGGACAAAGAGGCUGACUACAGAGUACAACCCUGCAAAUUUGAGGAUAGCCAAGUAGACCUCAAUUCCAAGCCUUCAGUUGAAAUGGAAACUCAGAAUGCAACCACUAUCCCACCCUACAACCCAGUUGAUGCCAGAUUCACCAGUAACUUCCAAGCAAAAGACCAAGCUCUUUUCCCAAGACUCCCCUCCAUCUCAUCCAAAUUGAACUAUACCAGCAGUCAAGAAAAAACUCAAGCCAUAGUAACCAAAUCUCAGAUUACUGAAAACUUAGUCUAUGAAAAGCCAGAGGACCCCCUGAAUUUUAUGCUGUGCCAGGUAUAGAAUUGGAGAAAAAGAACAACCUUUUUAUUCUCUUUAUUGUAAAAUACAGCACACAUACAGCAAAGUGUAUAGAACAAAGUGCAGGAAAUGAUGAAAAAGAGAGACAAAAUGUGAAAUCUACAAAGAACGAGCCUCUCUUCAGUAUUGUUUACAAUCAUGUGUCAAUACUAUGUUCUGUUUUCCAUCUGAAAAAAAAAUGGUUUUGAAUAGACAUUAGUGGUGACUCUACCUGAAUGCAUUAUUAAUUUUUAAGUAAAAAAUCUAUAGAAUAUCUAUGUAAAAUUUACAUAACAAUUACAGAUAUCUCUGGAUAAUCAUACAAAAAUAUACACAUUAUACUUAUGCAUGCAUUGAUAUUUCAAUACUCAUUCCCCUAAAUCUCUGAAUAAGUCCACAAAUCACAACUAGCAAUUUAUAUGUACUUCUUAUAAAGCAUAUAAAUCUGUCUCCAAGCUAUUUACAAAAUGUCUAAUCAAAAAAUGUGUGAAAAAGAAUUUAUCACAGCAUUUUUUUCUUAAUGAAAGAUUAUUGUUGUAAUAUCUCUUAUUUAUUUUUGCUGUUUCUUCUUUAACCUUGUUUGUUAUAUUCUGCCAUUAGUGGAUGUGAUUCUAAUCUUUUCCUAUGGAUAGCUCACUUCUGAUUUGUAACCUACAGCAAAACUCAAACAUGUUAUACUGCUCCGUACACACCUGUGGGUGAGGCAGAACAUCACUUUCUCAUUACCUUUUCCCUUAAAGAGUAUCUGCAUCAUGUGGAAUGUAUAACCAGUUCAACUGGUAUUUUAAUGCAAAAAUUCUUAACUUGGUCUGUCUGGUAUGAGUGUGUCUGCCUAAAGAUCAUAACUGAGAUGAUCAUCUGAUACUACUUUUGUGAUAUGAACCCUCCAUUUAAUUUCUAUUUGAACAUUACAGGAGACUUGAGUUUUUACAAUGUUU
rnacentral:lncRNA from 1 species